rnacentral:lncRNA from 1 species
UUGGACGAAUAGUGAUUUUGAAUAGGUGUCUGGCAUAAGGUUCCUGCAGUGGUGGGAUGCCCACGAGGACAUGGAUAAGGGUGGAUCCUCGUCGGCUUGCUUAUAUUCAAGGCAUGCCCAGAAUGCCAUGCUGGGAGCGUGGUAUAGGAUCUCCUUUCUGGUUCACCCAUCUGACCCCAGCCUGUCAUUGCCCUAGAAUCACGAGCUUCAGCAUUUUGACACUGUAAUAGAGGAAUCAGAGGACACCCAGAAUGUAAGAGAAAGAGAGAGAAUGACAGAAAUAGAGUGAGAGGUCAACAGAAUACAACUGUGCUCAUGUCACUGGAUUGAGUGCGCGAGUGUCCGUAUGUGUGUGUGUGUUGGAUAAGCGGCGUUCUGUCUGUAACAGGAUAGAGUUGCACUACAACUUGUUGUGUGAUGCUAAAUAAAUGCUGGCAUGUGUGCCCAGAAACAUGACGCUUUGGCUGAAAAGGGUCAGUCACCUCAUGUCCACAGUCACAGUGCUGAUGCACAAGUCUCUCUGCAUUAAUGACAACCCGUGGAUCUCAAACAACCUUCAUAUUCUUCAACUGUCCCAUUAACAACAUUACGUGACAGAGCAAAGCUCUGCUAACAAGGACAUCAGUGAGAUAAUAAAGGUGUUUAAACUCUCUCACUUCUCUAUGGCUCUGCUCCAAAUCCUAGUGAGCUGCCAUGCUAUCGACAGUCUACAUGAUCAGCACUUAAAGCAGCAUCUGCACUGAAAAUAUACCUUGCAUGUGACUGAACUGAAACACUCUUCAUGGGCAACAACUCCCUCAAAAGUAUCUUUACUCUUCAGUUGGAAUCUACUUCCUGUGACAAGAGCUGGAUUUGGUUGAUUUUUAUCAUGGAAGACCAAGGAUGUUGUGUCAACUUUUAUACAAAGACACACUCUUUUCCACCCUCAUUUUCUCCCCCUUUACUCCCUAUCCUCCUAUGUGUUUCUCUUUUGUAGCUCUUGUUCUCUGUCUCCUGUUCUCUCACUGGACACUUAGUGGAAAGAUAGGAUGCAGAAUGUGAAAGCAGGUAUUUGUUAGGGGGUCAAGGGGAUGGGUUGACCGGGUGUUGAGACAGGUGGGUCUGGUGUAGGGAAUCAUUUGACCCAUGGGAAAAAAGUAAACACAUUGAGAUUGAUGUUAAUUCAAUAUUCACUUAUUUCAUCAUAUUAAUUCCAUAGUAGUCUCAGCUUUAUAAGCUGUAUAGUCAAAGUCAUGUAUAAUCUAAGUCCAGCUCUGAAAAAAGUUGAUGAAUGCACUCUCCUUGUAAACUGUUAACUAAAAAAAAAAAGAUAAAGACACUAUUAAAUACAAACAAACUGAUACAUAAGCAAAUGCACCUCACAAGAAUAAAAAAAAGUCAGAUAACGAAGAGAACAAACUGUUUGUUGGAAAAUUCUACACAUAAUGGGGGUGGGGGGGUUGAGAGACAGAAACUGUGACAAUCAGCCCAGCUUCAUUUCUCCUCUUCCCACAGGACACUAGUCACUCAGUCAAGCAGAAAACAAGCUCAUCAUCUGAUGAAGACUGAUAAAGAGAUCAUCACUCUGUCCACCUGCUCUCAUCCCACAAAUAGAGGUCCAUCAGUUCUGAUGCUGUCUCAGUCCGGUCUUUAACAUUUAAAAUCUUUCAAAUGUAUCAUCUUUAGAAUCAUCAAACAUUUUUAAUAUUAAUAUUUAGAAUCUUUAGCAUUAGACUCAAAAAUUUAGUAUUUAGAAAUUUUAGGAUUAGAAUCUUUCAAAUUUUUUUUUACAAUCUAAAGCAUCCAUAAUAUUUCAAAUCUUUAGCAUUAUAUAUUUUUUUAAUCUUAAUAUUUUUUUGAUUUUUAGCAUUUAGCAAAUCUAUAACAUUCACACAAUUUUAGAACCUUCAGCAUUAGAAUAUUUACAUUUAAAAUAUUUGGCACUGGAAUCUUUUGAACAUUUAAUAUUUCAAAUCUAAAGCGUUUAUAAUGUAAUCUUUAGAAUCUGAAACAUUAAAAUCCUUUUUAACCUAAACAUUUAGAAUAUAUAGCAUUCAUAAUCUUUAGAAGCUUUAGCAUUAAUAUCUACAUUUGGAACAUUUGGCAUUAGAAUUGUUUGAAAGUUUAAUAUUUUGAAUCUAUAGCAUUUAUAAACGAUCCCAUCUUUAGCAUUAGAAUCUGUUGAAUCUUUAACUUUUCAAAUAUAUAGCAUUCAGAAUCUUUAACAUUAGAAUCUAUAGCAUUCAUAAAUGUAGUAUUAUCUUAACAUAAUCUUAACAUUUAGAAUAUUUAGCACUGGAAUCUUUUGAAUCUUUAACAUACAGAGUCUAUAGCAUUCAGAAAUUGUUUUAUAUAAUAAUCUUUAUAAUUGAAAACUUAUUCAGAACUUAGAAUCUUUGGCAGUAUACAGAAAGCAUGCACCAUGUCUUCCUUUAAUUAGUCUUCACCACCCGCAGAAAACCUUCAGAUGCUCAUUUCAUCCAAAGCCCCUGACUCUUCAGGUCAGCUUUGUACCGUCUAUAGUCCGCACCAACAGGCGCUCCACUGCAAGAAUCUCUCCGGCAUUACAGUCUAGUCAGGCUCCCACUGUUUCCUUAGCCUCCAAAGGCCAAACCCUGAAACAAACUCCCAGAAAACAACAACCUCUGCUCUCUUUAAAUUCAUGACACAUGCUUGCAUGGGCCCGUGAUGAAAGGAUGUAGCAUCUAUAGAUCUCCUCUCUCUGUAGUUUGGCUGUGUAUUUUUUUUUAUUUUAUUUUCUUUCUUUUGUAUAGUGA